GACGAACGCUGGCGGCGUGCUUAACACAUGCAAGUCGAACGGAAAGGCCCUGCUCUUGUGGGGUGCUCGAUUGGCGAACGGGUGAGUAACACGUGAGUAACCUGCCCUUGACUUUGGGAUAACUUCAGGAAACUGGGGCUAAUACCGGAUAGGAGCUCCUGCUGCAUGGUGGGGGUUGGAAAGUUUCGGCGGUUGGGGAUGGACUCGCGGCUUAUCAGCUUGUUGGGGGGGUAGUGGCUUACCAAGGCUUUGACGGGUAGCCUGCCUGGGAGGGGUACCGGCGACAUUGGGCCUGAGAUACGGCCCAGACUCCUACGGGAGGCAGCAGUGGAGAAUAUUGCACAAUGGGCGGAAGCCUGAUACAGCAACGCCGCGUGCGGGAUGACGGCCUUCGGGUUGUAAACCGCUUUCGCCUGUGACGAAGCGUGAGUGACGGUAAUGAGUAAAGAAGCACCGGCUAACUACGUG
rnacentral:rRNA from 1 species